rnacentral:misc_RNA from 1 species
AAGUCGUAACAAGGUUUCCGUAGGUGAACCUGCGGAAGGAUCAUUUGUGAAAAUUUAAUGUUUUUUUUGAAGAGGGGUAAAAUCCUUUUUAGAAAAACAUAAAAAAAGAGAUUUCUUGUGGUUUAUAAAUGAUUUUUUAAAAAAUUGUUUGUUGUUGAAAAAUGACAAACAAUUAUAUUUUUAAAAUCAAUUUUUUAUAAAAAACUAUUUUAAACAUGUAUUUAAAAAAUUAACAGUUUUAAAAAAUAAAUUAAAAAAAAAUUAAAACUGUCAACGGUGGAUCUCUUGGCUCGU